rnacentral:rRNA from 1 species
GGCGUGCCUAACACAUGCAAGUCGAGCGGAGAAUAGCGGAUAGGUAACUUGAAGUUGUUCUUAGCGGCGGACGGGUGAGUAACACGUGGGCAACCUGCCUCAGAGUGGGGGAUAACACCGGGAAAUCGGUGCUAAUACCGCAUAACAUACACUUCCUGCAUGAGAAGAGUAUCAAAGGAGUAAUCCGCUUUGAGAUGGGCCCGCGGCUGAUUAGCCAGUUGGUAAGGUAACGGCUUACCAAGGCGACGAUCAGUAGCCGACCUGAGAGGGUGACCGGCCACACUGGAACUGAGACACGGUCCAGACUCCUACGGGAGGCAGCAGUGGGGAAUAUUGCGCAAUGGGGGAAACCCUGACGCAGCAACGCCGCGUGGAGGAAGAAGGUCUUCGGAUUGUAAACUCCUGUCUUCUGGGACGAUAAUGACGGUACCAGAGGAGGAAGCCACGGCUAACUACGUGCCAGCAGCCGCGGUAAUACGUAGGUGGCGAGCGUUGUCCGGAAUCAUUGGGCGUAAAGCGCUCGUAGGCGGAUCUUUAAGUCUGUGAAGAAAGACCUGGGCUCAACUCAGGGAACGGCAUGGAUACU